rfam:Salmo salar isolate Sally breed double haploid chromosome ssa04, whole genome shotgun sequence.
UUGUUAAAGUACUGUGUGUCGCUCUGGAUAAGAGCGUCUGCUAAAUGACUUAAA